rnacentral:rRNA from 1 species
AGUGAACGCUGGCGGUAGGCCUAACACAUGCAAGUCGAACGGCAGCACAGUAAGAGCUUGCUCUUACGGGUGGCGAGUGGCGGACGGGUGAGGAAUACAUCGGAAUCUACUUUUUCGUGGGGGAUAACGUAGGGAAACUUACGCUAAUACCGCAUACGACCUACGGGUGAAAGCAGGGGAUCUUCGGACCUUGCGCGAUUGGAUGAGCCGACGUCGGAUUAGCUAGUUGGCGGGGUAAAGGCCCACCAAGGCGACGAUCCGUAGCUGGUCUGAGAGGAUGAUCAGCCACACUGGAACUGAGACACGGUCCAGACUCCUACGGGAGGCAGCAGUGGGGAAUAUUGGACAAUGGGCGCAAGCCUGAUCCAGCCAUACCGCGUGGGUGAAGAAGGCCUUCGGGUUGUAAAGCCCUUUUGUUGGGAAAGAAAAGCAGCAGGUUAAUACCCCGCUGUUCUGACGGUACCCAAAGAAUAAGCACCGGCUAACUUCGUG